CAUGUGAGUUUUCAGUUCCAGUAUCACUCUCGGUGAGUAGGUGAACUUGUCAACAGCGCGGUAUUCGUCUGUAUUGCGUAUGUUCAAGUUACAGUACUGGCUUCCUUCCCAUGCAAUUUUGUUUUUUUAUUAUUAAAAAAUAUAACACUUUUUUGAAGUAUGUGAUAGAACAGACCACUAUAUUCCGUUGUGAUUUUAGAAUUGUAUUUGAGUAAUUAUGCCGCAGUCGAAUAUGACAUUUUUACGGUAUGGAUGGAUUUUCAAUUGCAUGAGGGCGAAAAUCUGAAACUUCUCAGAGAGAGGAACUGAGAACACACACCUCUUAAACAUGGAGGUGAAGAAGGCAGCAGUAUUCUGUUUGUUCAGGUUGUUCCUGCCGUUCAUUCUUCUUACAGUUGCAACUAAAUGAAAGACAACAUCCCCAAAGACUUUUCUUUAUUAUUGGUGUGGUUUAUUUGAUUAUGGCGAAACACACGUUGGCUAUCUGCUUAAAGGGAGGAAUCUCUUCCUGCAGGACUCUCUAAGGGAAACUGGUUACACGUUACACAUGGAAAAAAACACGAAAGCGUCCAUUUCCUAUCAGAGAUUUUACCGCUCG